rfam:Bacillus atrophaeus 1942, complete genome.
AGAUUCUUUAACACAGUCCAGAGAGGCUGAGAAGGAUAACGGAUAGGUCAGGAUGCGUGUAUCAUCAUCACGCAGCUUGCCCUUAAACCCCUCUCUGCCUUGGCAAGAGGGGUUUUUUAA